rnacentral:rRNA from 1 species
AUUGAACGCUGGCGGCGUGCUUUACACAUGCAAGUCGAACGGUAACAGGCCGCAAGGUGCUGACGAGUGGCGAACGGGUGAGUAAUGCAUCGGAACGUGCCCAGUCGUGGGGGAUAACGCAGCGAAAGCUGUGCUAAUACCGCAUACGAUCUAUGGAUGAAAGCGGGGGACCGUAAGGCCUCGCGCGAUUGGAGCGGCCGAUGUCAGAUUAGGUAGUUGGUGGGGUAAAGGCCCACCAAGCCAACGAUCUGUAGCUGGUCUGAGAGGACGACCAGCCACACUGGGACUGAGACACGGCCCAGACUCCUACGGGAGGCAGCAGUGGGGAAUUUUGGACAAUGGGCGCAAGCCUGAUCCAGCAAUGCCGCGUACAGGAAGAAGGCCUUCGGGUUGUAAACUGCUUUUGUACGGAACGAAACGGUCUGGGUUAAUACCCUGGGCUAAUGACGGUACCGUAAGAAUAAGCACCGGCUAACUACGUGCCAGCCGCCGCAGUAAAAC